UGCUUGCUUCAGCAGCAGUAUAUUUAAAUUGGAAUGAUAGAGAAGAUUAGCGUGGCCUCUCUGCAAGGAUGGCAUGUGAAUUCAUGAAGUGUUAGCUAUUUUU
ensembl:snRNA U6 U6 spliceosomal RNA